AUCUGUAACCCACUGUGCCUGGCCAGGGAUCGAACAGGGAUCACCAGCAGGAAGUCCUCCCUUGAAAGUUUGAUCCUGCUUAUCUACCCAAUGUAGAAGUGAGUCAUAUAAAAGAUAAUCCAGAACAUUUGCAUUCUGCCUUUUAUUUUGUCCUCAAGGCAUGCCCUCUGGGCCUCAACACCCAAGGAAAUGCCUUGUCCUAGAGAAAAUGAAUCCCAUUCUCCUCCUCUCCACACCCCCUAAGGAAGUGUUGCUCACUGAAACCUGAAAGUAUUGAGGGUAGGGAUGAUGUCUUCAUUGCUUUUUUAAUCCCCAGGGCCAGCCCUACUGCUUGGUAUCCAGCAGAAAUUCAGCGAAGGUAUAAUGAGUAAGCUGGACAAUGUUUUCAUCCAAAAAAGGGAAUGGAUUUGGAUCAAUAGUAGAGUGGGUGUUAUUUAUAUGAUAGCAUUUUCAAUUGCGCCAAAUUAUCAAUUUUUACCUAGAGGAAAGACUGUAGUAGUGAGGACACUUGUUUGCCCCAAAUCUAAACACUGGAAGACUUAUGAGUUGUCUAUGUGCCAGUUACUAGGGUGUCAAGACUCAAAUGCCUUUUAUUCAUUCUUCCAACCUGUCAAUACUUAUCUACUACAUUAAGUGCUAGACAUUGAGCACAUUUCCUCUGUGUUAGCACUCAUUUUUUGGCCAAUACCGAAGAAUAAAAGUUUUGUGAAAUUUCUCAAUACUUUAGAACACAAGGCAACAACCUUAAAGAAAUUACCUGUUUCCCAACCUAAAUGUCCAUUGACGAAUGGAUUAAGAAGAUGUGGUACACAUACACAAUGACAUACUACUCAGCCAUAAAAAAGAAUAAUGACAUUUGUAGCAACACAGAUGGAACGAGAGACUCUCAUACUAAGUCAGUCAGAAAGAGAAAAACAAGUACCAUAUGAUAUCACUUAUAUCUGGAAUCUAGUGUACAGCACAAAUACACCCUUCCACAGAAAAGAAAAUCAUGGACUUGUAGAACAAACUUGUGGUUGCCAAGGGGGAGGGAGAGGGAGUGGGAUGGAUUAGGAAUCUGGGCUUAAUAGAUGCAAAAACUAUUGCCUCUGGAAUGGAUUAGCAAUGAGAUCCUGCUGUAUAGCACUGGGAACACUAUCUAGUCACUUUCGAGGGAGCAUGAUAGAGGAUAAUAAAAAAAAAGGAUGUAUGUAUGUAUGUGUGACUGGAUCACUUUGCUGUAUAGCAGGAAAUUGACAGAACACUGUAAACCAACUAUAACGGGAAAAAAAAAUCGUUAAAAAAAAUAAAGUACCUGUUUCCAAAUGCACCCCCAGUAUAUUAAAAACACACGUAGUCAUGAAUUUUCCAUAAACUAUACAUCUUUCAAUUAGACAAGAGAAUUAUUUCUAGAAGGUUUUGAACACUGACAGUAUGGUAUUUAACAUGUUUUUAAGAAAUUCUCCUAAGGAGACAGUGAGUUCAAAGGGCUUAAAAAAACUCAAGAAGGGUUUUCCUUUUUUUUUUUUCUACAAAGUCUUCCUGUUAUACAACCUAAAAUAUGUUAGUAUUUAGUGGGGGGAUUUAACUGCCAGUCAUAGACACUUGCCUGUGACAGACAACAUGAUAGUUCAUUUAUCAAUAAGUACUAUCCUUUUUACUGGCAAAUAAGUGCCUCACGUAACCACUUUUCACCAUCUCCUCUGCUGUCAUCCCAAUUAAGCCUCCAUCGUCUCUUAUCUAGACUAUAACAUCCCAAUUAAGCCUCCAUCAUCUCUUAUCUAGACUCUAACAGCCUCCUCACAGAGCAAAGUCAUCUUCCCAAAGUAGAAAUCCAACCUUGUCCCUCCCUUCCUUAAACUCCAACUGCUUCUGCAUAUUUAGGGAACCUUCAUAUCACUUUGACUUCUAACAUUAGCUGCAAAGUGUAAGAGUCUCCGAGAUCACCCCUCCACACUUAUGACACCAAUUUCAAGUUUAAGAGUCAUCACCACCUCAGGUCUGAAAAUGUUCUAUCAAGACUCACAGAACUCACCGAACACUAUUAUACACAUGGUUAUGACUUAUUACAGUCAAAGGAUAUACACUGAAAUCAGCGAAGUGAAGGUGUGUGUGGGAACCCCAGAAGGGCUCCAUGCACAAAGCAUCCAGUUGUCCUUUCCAAGGGAGUCACUUACAGCACUCACUUUUUCCAGCAAUGUCGUCUCAUGGUUAUCGCUGAGUAUUGCCAACUAGAGAAGCUCACCCAAGACUUGAUAUCCAGAAUUUUUAUUGGGGCUCAGGCACCUAGACAUCGUUGACUGCCUAUAUGGCUCAUCUUUAGCCUCCAGUUUCCCUUGAGGUUCAGCACAAAGCCACCAGCAUAAAUCACACCACUAGACUAUGCUCAGGUAAACAAAGAUACUUUUAUCAGGUAGAAUAUCACAAGGGGCUUCCAGGGGACAAGGGCAAAGACCAGACCUCUCCAAUGUAGGGUUAAGUGUUCCCAAUACUUUUGGAACAAAAACUUAUCACAGUUGCAAAGCCAGCUAAGAUCUGCAACCCGAGCCACUGCUGUCAGAUCCUUAACCCACUGUGCCAUAUCAGGAACUCCAGCCUUCUUUUGGUGUCUGGGACACACCCAGCUCCAACUCAAGACAUUGUUCUUGCUGUUCCUUCUGCCUAAAUGCUCCUUCCCAGAUGUUCACACAGUUCUCUGCUAUUCAUCAAAAUAAAUGCCACCUCCUCAGAGAGGCCUUCCCUAAAUACCCUAGCAAAAGCAGCCACAACCUGUCUCCCAACACACAGAUGCACACACAACAGAUGUGUUCAUGUAGUGUGUACAUGUACACAUCACACACACACACACUCCACCACAUGACACUGUUUUUCUUCAUAGUACUUUUAAGGACGUAAAUUACAUUAACUGUUUAUUGCCUCUCUGUUGUUUACAAUAGAAGGUAAGCUCCAUCUUGUUCACCAGUCUUUUCCCAGUAUAUAGAUUGGUACCUAAUAGCUAGUGUCUGUUCAAAAAUAUAUGUGGAUUGUAUAUGUGCCUGAUAUUAGACAGGUAUGGACACAAAGAAUUAUAACUUAUCUGAGCUGACUUCAGAUUAAUUACAUUCCUGUAAUGUUAAGAAGCAGUCUCUUUCUCUUAGCAAGAGACUAGGCACUGUAUGCCAUCUAUAAUUAACCAAGGGAAAACAUUAGUAGGAAUAUAUGAAAUAUGAUCAAAUGAAUGAGACUGAUUUUCCUCUGUGUAUUAUUAAAUCAGUCUCACUAUUUUGUGGUCAUAUAUUACAAUGGUGACUUAACUAUGAGGUUAUCAGUGGUAGAAAAAAAAAAGAUGAGAUGACAGGAUGGACCCAGGAGAACAGAGCUGAGUCUCCUUAUCUUUUCUUCCAUUUAAGAAAAACCCAAGUUCCUAAUUAAUGUUAUGCAAUGAAAAGUACAAGGUGAUUAUUCAUCAAUUAAGAAAUGAGCUAUCAAACCGCAAAAAGAUGGGGACAAAACUUACAAGCAUCCUACUAAGUAAAAGAAGCCAAUCUGAAAAGGCUACCUACAAUAUGAUUCCAACUAUAUGACAUUCUGUGAAAUGCACAAUUGUGGAGAUAAUAAGAAGAAUGAUUGCCACCAGGGGUUGAGGGAAGCGGGUAAGAUGGGUGAUACAGGGAUAGAUGGCGCUCAGGACAGUCAAACUGUCCAAUAUGAUAUGCUAAUAGUGGAUACAUGUAUUAUACAUCUGUCAAAAUCCCUAAACCACACAACAGCAAGAGACGCUAAUGUCAGCAAUGCUUUAGUUAAAAAUGGUGUAUCAACAUUGGUUCAUUGAUUGUAAUAAAAAUACCACACUGUUAAAAGCAAGACAACAGGGACAAAGGGGAGUCACUUAUCCUAACCUCCAUGUUAGCAAACUGAGACUUAAUUACAGUUUUGGCCUCUCCCACAAAUGGAAUCUUAAACCAGUCAGUCAGGAAGCCCCUGGUCAGCACUUGUUAACUUAUCUGCCUAGAAGACCACUGCCAAGUCCUAACGCAAAGGGACCUUGCCCAAGCCAAUCCACUUUUUGCUACUACGGGUAUACCCUGGUUUUCCAGUUUGCCUUCUGCCACUUUGCCUUCAUGAAAGACCUAUCUUAGUACCUGUUUUCACUCACCGAAAGAAAUCUGAAGAUUUUUGCUUUUAGCAAAAGAAAAGGAAAAAAAAAAAAAAAAAAAAAAAAAAAGGCAGGGUAGGGGGUGGAUGAAGCCUGCGAACAGCAUUUGUUUUGCAGGCAGGCUUCACAGAGGUAGCUCACACCCAGAGCAGCAAGAGGGGCCCCACUAAGCUCUUCCCUAAGAACCACACUCAAUAGCUCAGCAUCCAAUCACCCUAACUUUCAACUGUGUCUGCAAGCAAACUCUGUCCUAAGGUAAUCAUGUCUUCACUUGACACCAUUUCAGCUUAUAGGAAGUUUCAGAGGAAUGCUCUAAUUUCAGACUAAGGGGGAAACCGAUCAAAGUUGCUGUCCCAGUCUCUUCCACCUAUAAAAAGUCUGUCAUUUUGUACAGCUCUUCGGCGCUCCUUUCCGUGUGCUGGAUGGGAUGCUGGCCUGUUCACAAAUAGAGCCAGUAACAUCUUUACAUUUUAUUCAGUCCAACUUUGUUUGGUAACAACAAGAUGUGAAUGGGGAAGUGAGGAGGAGAGACAGGAAGCACAUGGGAACUCUGCCAAAAAAGAAACCCUAUUAAUUUUUUUUUUUUUUUUGUCUUUUUUUUUUUUGCUAUUUCUUGGGCCGCUCCUGCGGCA
rnacentral:lncRNA from 1 species